rnacentral:rRNA from 1 species
AGAGUUUGAUCCUGGCUCAGGAUGAACGCUGGCGGCGUGCCUAACACAUGCAAGUCGAGCGAACCCUUCGGGGUGAGCGGCGGACGGGUGAGUAACGCGUGGGUAACCUGCCCUGUACACACGGAUAACAUACCGAAAGGUAUGCUAAUACGGGAUAAUAUGUUUUGAUCGCAUGGUCGAGAUAUCAAAGCUCCGGCGGUACAGGAUGGACCCGCGUCUGAUUAGCUAGUUGGUGAGGUAAUGGCUCACCAAGGCGACGAUCAGUAGCCGACCUGAGAGGGUGAUCGGCCACAUUGGAACUGAGACACGGUCCAAACUCCUACGGGAGGCAGCAGUGGGGAAUAUUGCACAAUGGGCGAAAGCCUGAUGCAGCAACGCCGCGUGAGCGAUGAAGGCCUUCGGGUCGUAAAGCUCUGUCCUCAAGGAAGAUAAUGACGGUACUUGAGGAGGAAGCCCCGGCUAACUACGUGCCAGCAGCCGCGGUAAUACGUAGGGGGCUAGCGUUAUCCGGAUUUACUGGGCGUAAAGGGUGCGUAGGCGGUCUUUCAAGUCAGGAGUGAAAGGCUACGGCUCAACCGUAGUAAGCUCUUGAAACUGUAAGACUUGAGUGCAGGAGAGGAGAGUGGAAUUCCUAGUGUAGCGGUGAAAUGCGUAGAUAUUAGGAGGAACACCAGUUGCGAAGGCGGCUCUCUGGACUGUAACUGACGCUGAGGCACGAAAGCGUGGGGAGCAAACAGGAUUAGAUACCCUGGUAGUCCACGCCGUAAACGAUGAGUACUAGCUGUCGGAGGUUACCCCCUUCGGUGGCGCAGCUAACGCAUUAAGUACUCCGCCUGGGAAGUACGCUCGCAAGAGUGAAACUCAAAGGAAUUGACGGGG